rnacentral:rRNA from 1 species
UACAUGGGGUGCAAACGUUGCUCGGAAUUAUUGGGCGUAAAGCGCGCGUAGGCGGUUACUCAAGUCGGAUGUGAAAGCCCUCGGCUUAACUGAGGAAGUGCACCCGAAGCUGAGUAGCUAGAGUACUAAAGAGGGUCGCGGAAUUCCCGGUGUAGAGGUGAAAUUCGUAGAUAUCGGGAGGAACACCGGUGGCGAAGGCGGCGACCUGGGUGAUG